rnacentral:lncRNA from 1 species
ACAGUGUGUAAACCGGAAACAACAAAACCUUGACCAAUGAUUUUCCAACUGUUCCCGUGUGCUUUUGGGUGUCCCAGUGUCCGUAAAACUGGGCAAUUGGCAAAAGUGCCGAAACGCGUGCAAAAUAAACCCCUGGCCAAUUACUUUAAAACUGUACAUGUGUGGUUCUUGGGUGCCCCAGUGUCCAUAAAACUAGGCAAUUUGCAAAAGUGCCGAAACGCGUGCAAAAGAAACAACUGGCCAAUUACUUUAAAACUGUGCAUGUGUGGUUUUGGGUGCCCCAGUGUCCGUGAAACUGUGCCCACGUGAAGGUGUUUGGGAAAAUGCACUCGUGUGCAUGCAGACCGGCCUAUGUUAAGGGAAACCUAAAUUUCAAAGACAAAUGAAACGCAC